rnacentral:rRNA from 1 species
CCCUUAGAUGUUCUGGGCCGCACGCGCGCUACACUGAUGCAUUCAACGAGCCUAUCCUUGACCGACAGGUCCGGGUAAUCUUUGAAUCUGCAUCGUGACGGGGAUAGAUUAUUGCAAUUAUUAAUUUUCAACGAGGAAUGCCUAGUAGGCGCAAGUCAUCAGCUUGCGUCGAUUACGUCCCUGCCCUUUGUACACACCGCCCGUCGCUCCUACCGAUUGGGUGUGCUGGUGAAAUGUUCGGAUCGGCCGUUUGUCGCGGUUUCCGCGUCAUGUGGCUGAGAAGUUCAUUAAACCCUCCCACCUAGAGGAAGGAGAAGUCGUAACA